UUUUUGGAGAGUUUGAUUCUGGCUCAGAACGAACGUUGGCGGCGUGGAUAAGGCAUGCAAGUCGAACGAUCUUAUUGAGUAUUUUGGCUUCGGUCAGAAGACUUGAUUUGAUAGUGGCAAAAGGGUGAGUAACGAGUGAGUAAUCUACCUUCGAGCUCGGGACAACCCGCCGAAAGGCGGGCUAAUACCGAAUAAGACCAAAACCCUGCAUGGGGUUGAGGUCAAAGGCAGGGACCGCAAGGCCUGUCACUUGAAGAUGAGCUCGCUUUCUAUCAGCUUGUUGGUGAGGUAAUGGCUCACCAAGGCUACGACGGAUAGCUGGUCUGAGAGGAUGGUCAGCCACACUGGGACUGAGACACUGCCCAGACUCCUACGGGAGGCUGCAGUCGAGAAUCUUUCGCAAUGGGCGCAAGCCUGACGAUGCGACGCCGCGUGAGCGAUGAAGGUUUUCGGAUCGUAAAGCUCUGUCAAGCGGGACGAACGUCCUGAUGGCGAAUAGCCUGAUGGGCUGACUGUACUGCUAGAGGAAGUCAUGGCUAACUCCGUGCCAGCAGCCGCGGUAAUACGGGGAUGACUAACGUUGUUCGGAUUCAUUGGGUGUAAAGGGUAUGUAGGUGGCCUUGCAAGUCGGAUGUGAAAUCCUUUGGCUCAACCAAAGAACUGCAUUCGAAACUGCUCGGCUUGAGUUUCGGAGAGGAGAGUGGAAUUCCCAGUGUAAGAGUGAAAUCUGUAGAUAUUGGGAGGAACACCAGUGGCGAAGGCGACUCUCUGGCCGAAAACUGACACUGAAAUACGAAAGCUAGGGGAGCAAACAGGAUUAGAUACCCUGGUAGUCCUAGCCGUAAACGAUGAGCACUAGGUGUGGGGUCCUCUGGGCUCUGUGCCGCAGUUAACACAUUAAGUACUCCACCUGGGGACUACGAUCGCAAGAUUGAAACUCAAAGAAAUUGACGGGGACCCGCACAAGCAGUGGAGCAUGUGGUUUAAUACGACGCUACGCGUGGAACCUUACCAGGGCUUGAAAAGUGCAUGAAACCUUGGCGAAAGCCAGGGCCUCCUUUCCGGGACAUGCACACAGGUGUUGCAUGGCUGUCGUCAGCUCGUGUCGUGAGAUGUUGGGUUAAGUCCCGCAACGAGCGCAACCAUCGUCUUUAGUUGCCAUCAGU
rnacentral:rRNA from 1 species